rnacentral:rRNA from 1 species
ACGGAACGGGCCCCUCCGACCCGUCUAGUAACACGGACCAAGGAGUCUGACACGUGUGCGAGUACCCGGGUGGCAAGCCCGCGUGCGGAAUGAAAGUGAAGGGCAUGCCCUGCCAACCGACCUUGACCUGCUGUGAGGGGUUUGAGUGGAGCACACCUGUCGGGACCCGAAAGAUGGUGAACUAUGCCUGGGUAGGGUGAAGCCAGAGGAAACUCUGGUGGAGGCUCGUAGCGAUACUGACGUGCAAAUCGUUCGUCGAAUCUGGGUAUAGGGGCGAAAGACUAAUCGAACCAUCUAGUAGCUGGUUCCCUCCGAAGUUUCCCACAGGAUAGCUUGAACGCAACGGUUUUGUCAGGUAAAGCGAAUGAUUAGAGGCCUGUGGGCUGAAACAGCUUGCACCUAUUCUCAAACUUUAAAUGGGCAAGAGGCCCGGGAUGCUUGAGUGAUCCCGGGCGGCGAACGGCGCGUUCAAAGUGGGCCAUUUUUGGUAAGCAGAACUGGCGAUGCGGGAUGAACCGAACGCCGCGCUAAGGUACCCAAGUGUCCGCUCAUCAGAUACCACAAAAGGCGUUGGUACCUCCAGACAGCAGGACGGUGGCCAUGGAAGUCGGAACCCGCUAAGGAGUGUGUAACAACUCACCUGCCGAAGGUACUAGCCCUGAAAA